UCGCUCCUCUUUCCUGAUUUUUGUUCCCGUGGACGAGAAAAAACCCUAACUUCAUAAUUCUUCUCAAUUUCCUCAAAAGAUAGGAGACAUACACCACUGAAUCUUGGAUGAAAGUAGCAGAAAACUAAUUCUUAUUCUCUUCCGCUGCUGCAGAAAUCGAGAUCUGGAAGAAAAAGGAUUGAGAAACUUACUGAACCCGUCUUCAACAAGGUAAUUGAAGGUUAAGGGAAUCUGUUUCUUGCACUGUUGGCUGCCUAGGGUUUCUUUCAGUUUCUCUCCAGAAUCCGGAUUCCGGUACCACACUUUCAGGAAUUUCUCUUCUUUUAAUCAGGUAGUUUUCCAUGAUGCUAGACAGAGUUGAAUCCUUGUUUACUUCUGUUGAGCAUUCCCAGGAAGAGUACACAAUAAAGCAACUUUUCCACGAGGACCUCCCCAUUCUGCCCUUUAAGGACCACCAACGUAUGUCGAGGAACUAGUACACUUCUCAUCUGAACGAUCUAGACCUUCUCCACCAAGCAAACCAGGGAUCAUGCCUUGCCGCUUGGCUAUACACCCUUUCCUUGUGACUCCUCUCGCAUACGCUCGAGUCUCUAAAGAGCCUCUCCCCCUCCUUGGCAGUCGAGUCUCUAAAGAGCCUGGACUUCACUUAGCUCUUCUAACCUUAACGUCAGCUCUUAAAACUCAGAUGCGGUCAACCUUUCGCACCAAAGAUCAGUCCAAUCGUGAAGAGAGAGUACGGCGAUUGCUCCUACAUAAACUACCUUCUAAACGAGAAUAGCACCGGUCAUAGCUUCCGUCCUAUCUAUCUAGGGUUCGGCUUCAUUCUCUUCCAAAAGGUGUUUGCAGUGUGGAUGGAUGAACUAUCCAAGUCAAGGACGCAUCCAGUAAUGGAAGCUAUACUUUUCUCUCUAAUUUCUGUUUGUAUCCCGUGAUAACUUUGUAGCUGGUAUCUGUACUGGAUUGGCAUAGACCGAGUGUUCUCACAUAUUUGAUGGGUCUAUUACAGAGUUGGCACCUCCUUCUAAAGUUUCUGAAUAUCCAUUUCUUGAGAAUGAGGUAAUUGUAUAUUUUAGCUUUUAACGUUUUUCCUUCCCUAUCAGAAUUCUACUUAGUGGAGCUGUUCCUUCGUAAGUGUUUUUGUCCGUAUGGUUCAGUGAAUAUUGUGAUUUAGUUAAAAGCUGAAGUGAACAAGGAAAUCUAGACAAGGUAAUAUUCCUAGAAAGAGAAAUAUACCUAGAAAAGGAAUUAUUCCUAGAAGGUUUGAGAAACCAAUCCAAAAUCUAUAAAUAGAGAUGUUUAGCUCAUUGCUAAGACAUAUCUAGAGAGUGUAGUUUGACACCUAGAAAAGGAGGUUUAAUACACAUACCUAGAGAGAAGUUUGUGAGGCAAUUAAUUAUUGUAAAAGCAAACUUAGCAAAUAGUUUAAGGUCAUUUACCUAGAGAGAUGGUGAGCGUAACAAAGAGAUAAUUUUAAUAGUUUUCUUGUUCAUAAUCCAGAGAAGAUAUUUUUCUUCGAAUCACUGUCUUGCGUGUCUUCUGUUUUCUAAAUCUUUUCGCCUAUUAUUAUUCUGAAUUCCGCCUCUAUAGUGAUAAUCACCAAGGUACAAAGAUCAAUACGUAUCAGUGGUGGCGAUGUUAAGGAAGAUAAUGACGAUGGAGAACUGGAAUAUGAUGAAAUAUUUUUAUCUUAUUGAUAUGCUUGUUUUUCAUUACUGAGUUUCUUUCUUAUCUAUAUAGCAAAUCUAAUCACUGAGAACUUGUUGAAAAUUAAUUAUCAGUAGUUGUCAUCGUAUUCAUCUCAUAUAUGUCGAAGAAGAAGUUUCAAUUGUCAUGCUCCUGAAAUUAGAAUCUUAUUGGCAGACGGGAAACAUUAUUAUUUAUUUUUUUUGGACAGUCAAAAUCAUGAAAAGUAUAAAAAAGGUUCGAUA